rnacentral:tRNA from 1 species
GACAGGGAGUGAGCGGUUCCGCGGGCGGAUUCACCCUCCGCUGGCGGCGGUUCGAUUCCGUCCGGCGUCG